rnacentral:lncRNA from 1 species
CAUGAUCCUCAGCUCUCAUAAUGCACAGUGUGUUCUCAGCUCUAUAUGAAAAUAGAUAGGAGAGUGAUUCAGAGGAUUAAGUUGAAGGCUGAAAAAUCAUUGAGGAUUUUAUUUGCUCUUCUUUUAGAUAUCCUUUGAUUGGAUCAUUGUGAAGAUGAGCACGCUGGAGUGCCUUCCUCAUGGUCACACAGAAGGAAUUUCAAAAUACAUACUCAGCUUCCACUUUCUGCUCAGAAUUAAUAUUUUCUACUUCAAGAGGAGUGCAGAAACCUGACUACAUAGAGUAUAGGUAUUUUUACCUUUCCUUUCUUUUAAAAAAUUUUAUUUAAAUUAGCCAACAUAUAGUACACACUUAGUUUCCAAUGUAGUGUUUAAUAAUUCGUCAGUUGCAUAUAACACCCAGUGCUCAUCAUAUCACCCUACCUUUCCCUUCUUUAUAUUGUAAUUAUGUAUAUGAUAUACAGUUAUAUAUAAUUUUAUUGUAUGUAAUUGCAUCUAUGUACUUUGUCUUUUUUUAAAUUUUUUUUAUUGGUGUUCAAUUUACCAACAUACAGAAUAACCCCCAGAGCCCGUCACCCAAUCACUCCCACCCCCCACCCUUCUACCCAAUCACUCCCACCCCUCCCCUUCUACCACCCCUAGUUCGUUUCCCAGAGUUAACAGUCUUUACGUUAUGUCUCCCUUUCUGAUAUUUCCCACACAUUUCUUCUCCCUUCCCUUAUAUUCCCUUUCACUAUUAUUUAUAUUCCCCACAUGAAUGAGAACAUAUAAUGUUUGUCCUUCUCCGACUGACUUACUUCACUCAGCAUAAUACCCUCCAGUUCCAUCCACAUUGAAGCAAAUG